UACGUAGGGCGCAAGCGUUGUCCGGAAUCAUUGGGCGUAAAGAGCUCGUAGGCGGCCUGUUGCGUCCGCUGUGAAAUCCCCGGGGCUUAACCCCGGGCGUGCAGUGGAUACGGGCUGGCUGGAGGCAGGCAGGGGAGAACGGAAUUCCCGGUGUAGCGGUGAAAUGCGCAGAUAUCGGGAGGAACACCGGUGGCGAAGGCGGUUCUCUGGGCCUGUACUGACGCUGAGGAGCGAAAGCGUGGGGAGCGAACAGG
rnacentral:rRNA from 1 species